UGAAAAAUGGAUAAUGAGUAAUCUGCGAAUGUUUGAUAACUCUGAUUCAUCUUUCAUG
rnacentral:pre_miRNA from 1 species